AGGAGAGUAACUCAAAUAGGUAGAGUAUUGGUUUCCAAAACCAACGGCUGAAGGUUCAAGUCCUUUCUCUCCUA
rnacentral:tRNA from 1 species